CUAAGUAACACAGCUAUUUUUUGUUUGAUACAAAAUGGCUCUUCACGCCAAAAAAUUGUUAAUUGGUAUUUUGAAUGUAUUGAAAGCUAAAUUCAUCCCCACGAUACCAAUUUUAUACAAUGAGGCCGGUGGUGAAAGGAACGUGUAAAGACAAUAUCUGAUAACCUUUCAUAUCUCGUAAUGAAGGUUGUGAUGUAGAUUUACAUUCAAAUAGUCAGAAAUAUUCAAUUAUGUAAAUUGUGAAGUAGGUAGGUGUGUGGAUUAUCCCGGAUACGGCCAGUCAUGUCUUUUUGAAGAGAAAUGAUAUUUAUACAACCUUUUAAAUAAUAUUUUAUCUCAUGUGCUGCACCAACAUGGAACUGUUCUAUGAAGUACAUAACCUUGAACCAACAUGUGCUGCACCAAGGUAGUCAGGAACAAGUCCCAGCACGUAGGAUCGCACGAUCUUACGUGCCACAGCACCUCGACUGUGCUUCGAUCCUACUUACAAACCGUGUUUUCUCUGAUUUGCUUUGUUUACUCUGUUUUUUGCCAUUUUUCCUCUGUUUUUCUCUGUUUUAUUGCUUGGUUCCUCUGUUUUUCCUCUAAUAUCUCUGUUUUUAUGUUUGGUUCCCCUGUUUUCCCUCUAUUUUCCCUGUAUAUUUCUCUCAAUUCUAUCGACAACCUAUUGAUCCCACUUACGAACCGUGUUACGUUCCUCGUGUUUACGUUCUUUCACCGGCCGACCGAUCCUACGUAGGAACUCGUUUCCUGACUACAUUGUGCUGCACAACCUACAAUUAUUAAUUCUGAAAUUGCAUCAGAGGUCACCCUACCUGAACCAACUUCGGUCACCGAACAAGUUAAUUCACACUCUGACAUCCCUUCCUCUUCCAUUACCAACAACCUUGCCCCUCCUGAUAGCCUAACACCUAUAAACUUCUCAAUCUUCAAUCUCACUCUAUCCAAACCUCCACCUUGUUGGUCAAAUGACGGAUACAACGAUAAUCUAGAUGGGUUUAACAGCUUUUCCCCUAAGAAGUUUUUACAAAAGCUUGGUUUUAAAAUUCUUUUGAAAGUUAUUGACUAUGAAAUUUUGUGCGACGAAUGACAAUGAUAAC
rnacentral:lncRNA from 1 species